CAGAGAGUAAAAAAACACACGGUUAUAUUAUUAUAGUAGAAACAAUACUUUCCUGGCCAAGUUCAGAAUCUAAUACAUUUCUAUAAUUUAAUCAUAUUGAUACAAUAUGGUUUUAUUUUGGGGACAAGAAACGUCGUAAAACGGUACAAAAUUUAUGUCAAUCGAUGUUUGGGAAUAAGCACAGUGCGCAAUAUUAUUUACAGUGCUCAUUCGUAAAUUAUUUCUGGUUUUGGUCUAAUAUCAUUGGAACGCUGUUUUCGUGCGAUCAAACCGAGCGAAAUAUUUACAAAAUAAAGAAA